UGAGCUUGAUCCUGGCUCAGGACGAACGCUGGCGGCGUGCCUAAUACAUGCAAGUCGAGCGAAUGGAGGGGAGCUUGCUCCCUGAAGUUAGCGGCGGACGGGUGAGUAACACGUGGGCAACCUGCCCUGUAGACUGGGAUAACAUCGAGAAAUCGGUGCUAAUACCGGAUAAUCAAAGGAAUCACAUGGUUCUUUUGUAAAAGAUGGCUUCGGCUAUCACUAUAGGAUGGGCCCGCGGUGCAUUAGCUAGUUGGUGGGGUAGAGGCUCACCAAGGCAACGAUGCAUAGCCGACCUGAGAGGGUGAUCGGCCACACUGGGACUGAGACACGGCCCAGACUCCUACGGGAGGCAGCAGUAGGGAAUCUUCCGCAAUGGACGAAAGUCUGACGGAGCAACGCCGCGUGAGUGAUGAAGGUUUUCGGAUCGUAAAGCUCUGUUGUUAGGGAAGAACAAGUACCGUUCGAAUAGGGCGGUACCUUGACGGUACCUAACCAGAAAGCCACGGCUAACUACGUGCCAGCAGCCGCU
rnacentral:rRNA from 1 species